rnacentral:misc_RNA from 1 species
AACGAGGCCGACCUGCGGCUGAGUUACCUGCGGAAGGAUCAUUACAAGUGACCCCGGCCUAACCACCGGGAUGUUCAUAACCCUUUGUUGUCCGACUCUGUUGCCUCCGGGGCGACCCUGCCUUCGGGCGGGGGCUCCGGGUGGACACUUCAAACUCUUGCGUAACUUUGCAGUCUGAGUAAACUUAAUUAAUAAAUUAAAACUUUUAGCAAUGGAUCU